rnacentral:tRNA from 1 species
GGAGGUUUAGCUCAGUGGUAGAGUGUGUGCUUAGCAUGCAUGAGGUCCUGGGUUCAAUCCCCAGUACCUCCA